UGGGGAAUUUUGGACAAUGGGCGAAAGCCUGAUCCAGCAAUGCCGCGUGUGUGAAGAAGGCCUUCGGGUUGUAAAGCACUUUUGUCCGGAAAGAAAUCCUUGGCUCUAAUACAGUCGGGGGAUGACGGUACCGGAAGAAUAAGCACCGGCUAACUACGUGCCAGCAGCCGCGGUAAUACGUAGGGUGCAAGCGUUAAUCGGAAUUACUGGGCGUAAAGCGUGCGCAGGCGGUUUGCUAAGACCGAUGUGAAAUCCCCGGGCUCAACCUGGGAACUGCAUUGGUGACUGGCAGGCUAGAGUAUGGCAGAGGGGGGUAGAAUUCCACGUGUAGCAGUGAAAUGCGUAGAGAUGUGGAGGAAUACCGAUGGCGAAGGCAGCCCCCCUGGGCCAAUACUGACGCUCAUGCACGAAAGCGUGGGGAGCAAACAGGAUUAGAUACCCUGGUAGUCCACGCCCUAAACGAUGUCAACUAGUUGUUGGGGGAUUCAUUUCCUUAGUAACGUAGCUAACGCGUGAAGUUGACCGCCUGGGGGAGUACGGUCGCAAGAUUAAAACUUAAAUGAAUUGACGGGGUCAUAGCUGUUUCCU
rnacentral:rRNA from 1 species